GACGAACGCUGGCGGCGUGCUUAACACAUGCAAGUCGAACGGGGCUCAUCGCUUCGGUGGUGGGUCUAGUGGCGAACAGGUGAGUAACACGUGGGCAACCUGCCCCCGGCUCUGGGAUAACUCCAAGAAAUUGGGGCUAAUACCGGAUGUGACCGCUGGCCGCAGGGUCUGGUGGUGGAAAGGGUUUCCAGCUGGGGAUGGGCCCGCGGCCUAUCAGCUUGUUGGUGGGGUAGUGGCCUACAAAGGCGACGACGGGUAGCCGGCCUGAGAGGGUGACCGGCCACACUGGGACUGAGACACGGCCCAGACUCCUACGGGAGGCAGCAGUGGGGAAUAUUGCGCAAUGGGCGGAAGCCUGACGCAGCGACGCCGCGUGGGGGAUGACGGCCUUCGGGUUGUAAACCUCUUUCAGCAGGGACGAAGCCGCGAGGUGACGGUACCUGCAGAAGAAGCACCGGCCAACUACGUGCCAGCCGCCGCCGUAA
rnacentral:rRNA from 1 species